UAUUUACACAGCUUAUGUAGGCGGUAACCAGGUAGGAUAUGCAUAACUUAUUUAUAACUCGGCUAUGUUAGUUAUUAUGGUAAUGUACAAGAAUACGAAAGAAAUUAGGAAAAUAAUACAAAGCGCUAGAAUAGUCAAAGAAAAUCGUUAAAUAAAUUUCUAACGAAUUAUUAUACGGGGCAUGUAUAAACAUCAUAUUAUCAUAACUGUGAUAAACUCCGUGAAUUGGGCGCUGAUUUAGUGCAAAUGAAGUCGGAUGAUUUUUGUAACGAAACUACAAGUGCUACGACAUAUCUAACGUACAAAAGUCACGUUCAACGAUUUGGUUUCUAUGAGAUAAAUAUAUGCCCAAAAAUGGUACCAUCAAUCUUUUGUUCAAACAGUCCAUCUUCAUAUUAUUGGAUAUAUAUUUAUACAUUAAAAAAUCUUACAUAAAAAAAUAAAAGAUUUCGUCAAGCGUGAACGUUUCAGAUGUAUCGUCGUGGGAGAUGAGUACGACCAUAUGUUAUGGGAAAACAGAUGUAGGAGUGUGUGUAACGAUACACCAUGAGGCCUGUUUGCCAGGAAUUAGUAUGACAGUCCGUUAUUACUUUGUUCAAUUUACACUAGGGAAGCGAUAAACACGUUUGUGGUAACCAAUACUUCCUUUCACAGCUAUUGAUGUGGUUAAGGGGUCAAUAGUUCAUUUGACCAUGCUCUGCGCGUUCUGGUAACUAACAAAUCGCACCAACAAACAAUAACAGGCAAUUGUGUCAAUCGAAUAGUGAAGCCGGGGUUUAUGCGUGUAAACUAUAGGAAUAGGUCACAGAUUUCUUGGAAAGCAUUUGUUAUGAAAUUUCGCUUCCCGUUACUGAGUUAAUAGCGCUUACACCAGAACAAGAAUAAAACGGAACGUUAUAUAAGUUUUGGGAAAGAAAUCUUACGAAUACAUAAACGUUAACUCUAACUAAGAAAAUAUUCAUUCCGAAUGACAACGCUCUGUAAUUUGAAAGGCUUGCGUAUUCAAAAUACAUAAAUCGCAAGCAUAUCAAUUCUGUUGUUUAACCGUAACCUAAUGCAUAAAUGGUAUGUGUUAACUACACAAACGCACAUUGCAACAAAAGCUAAUUCCAGUAAAAUGACGUAAUCACAUAAAGGAAACGUAGAGUUAAUAGUUAACACAUUACGUGCAAAGUGCAACAAAACCUGUGUCCGUACGUAGGGGCGGUUUAUUGUAUGUUUAACCAGCUAUAUUUAUGAAGGUUACAAGAGGGGCGUCGCUACAAAAACCAAGUGCGCUUUUCCAUAGUGCCGACUUGAAUCACGCAAAACCAAACUUUAUUCGUAUUAUUUGUUGAAUAUUUGCCAUUGCAGAAAAACACAGUAAAAUGUAGCGUGACCGCGUGGGAAAGUUUGUGGUAUUUGUAUGCGUGCAACAUCGCAGCAGUAAAACGUUUGGUAUACAGACCACAGCGACACAAACAUUUAAAUUUUAAAUCAUUUGUCUGGUUUGGGUUUUGUACAUGGUUUUCAUACUCAGAAUUUAGCAGUUGGUCACACAUAAAUACGGAGAAAAUUCAUGACACAACGACUGUUACUUAUAUAACGAUUCGUGUCGUAUCUGUUUAUUGAACGCGUAUGGCUCUUUAUCGCCAGCUGAAGGCCAGGUUAAAUGCGAAAGUAAUUAUUACUAUCCUGUAUGGAUGAAAGCAAUUUUACAACGUUUUCUGUAUAAAUGUGAUACUUUACACUGUUACCUUUGUAGUUUGUUUUAAAUCCACUAACUUAUAUUAGGCUUUGGUAGUUUAAAGUUCAAAGUGUUAGUUAUAUUGUAUUACAAAAGUGCGAGAUGUCGAGAAGUGUCAAGACAUUGAAGACCAUAUAAUACAUACAUGAUACAGUUAUAUACAUAUUAUAAAAUAUUAUAUAUAUAAUAAUUAAACAAUAUUUACUAUCUAGAAUCUUUAUAGGUUUCAUUAAACAAUACCCUAAACCUAAACAGAGUUUAUCAGAAAGAUGAAGACAGCAGUGAGCACCUAUCAAACUCUGGUUAGCAAAAGCAACAUUACAGAACUACUAACAUUGCAAAAGCAUGGAAAGUGGAAACCAUAACCAUUACUUGUCCCAGGGAUCUUCCCCAACCAACGAACUUCUUCAAAAUCCCGCGCAAAUGUAUAUCAUGAAAAACAAGAGAUAUAAGCAAUAAUAAAUGGGCACAGCCUUUAUUAUAAAAUACUAUUAACAUCAUUUAUAAAUCCUCAGUGAAAGAAACUCAACUGGUGUAACAGUAACAACAUGUAUUAUAUUGCGGACAGUAUUUGGAGUUUGGUUGGGCAAGUAUGUUUAUGUACAUCAUUGUCAGCAUGUUCCGUUGGCUAGACUCGAAACUUUUACUUUGUUUUUGUGUAGACUGUCAGCUUUUUCAAACCAUUUGCACAAAUUUGACGGGAUAUCUCUCCGAAAAUAUUAUUUAACACGGUAAACAGCCAUUACUCGCAUUUCCAAGCGAACACAGGCAUUGGCUUGUUGACCUAAUUGUAUUAUUAACCAUCGUAGUAUCUAUACAUGGCAGGUACAGCUCACAACCACACCUUUCGGCUCAUAUUUCCUAUAGACGAGAGUAACUUUGUGGUAAUACAUGUAUACCAUCAUCAACAUUUAAAAAACCCUUCACAGCACAAAAUACAGCGUACACCUAAAUAAUUAUUUUUAUUUUCAUUAACUUAAUCGUCAUUAUACUUUCUCGGAAAUUCAACCCUAUUUAUCCACGACCGAUAGCGGCAUCGACAAAGUCGCUUAAAUAUUUUCGAUUUCUUGAGAGCAAUAAAUUAUAAAACAUGGCAUUUUUUGCACGGAGUACAGAAAUAUCGCUUAUACAAUAAAUGGAAUCUUUGUUCAAUUUCAAGCUCUAAUUUACCGAAAACUUAGAACACAAAGCUUGUCUUAACCUGGAAAAGCACAAAAAAAAGCACCCAUAGUACCAAUGCGAUAAAAGAUAAAUUACAAAACAAUUAACAU